rnacentral:rRNA from 1 species
AACGAACGCUGGCGGCAUGCCUAACACAUGCAAGUCGAACGAAGUCUUCGGACUUAGUGGCGCACGGGUGCGUAACGCGUGGGAAUCUGCCCUUGGGUGCGGAAUAACUUCUCGAAAGGGAUGCUAAUACCGCAUAAUGUCGUAAGACCAAAGAUUUAUCGCCCAAGGAUGAGCCCGCGUAAGAUUAGCUAGUUGGUGGGGUAAAAGCCUACCAAGGCGACGAUCUUUAGCUGGUCUGAGAGGAUGAUCAGCCACACUGGGACUGAGACACGGCCCAGACUCCUACGGGAGGCAGCAGUGGGGAAUAUUGGACAAUGGGCGAAAGCCUGAUCCAGCAAUGCCGCGUGAGUGAUGAAGGCCCUAGGGUUGUAAAGCUCUUUACCAGGGAUGAUGAUGACAGUACCUGGAGAAUAAGCUCCGGCUAACUCCGUGCCAGCAGCCGCGGUAAU